UCAAAGAUUUUGUUAUGCAAAAGAUGAUACUAGAUGCUCUUGUCUUUGAAAGAAAUGCCAAGUUCUUUGACUGUCACUAUAGAGUAGUAUUAUUGUUAUGCUCAUUUCCAGGGUGACCCCAAAAAUUCUUCAACUACACCAUCUAUUUCCUUGUCUAUGUUCCGUAGUAGACAAAACAAUGAGCCGCAACUUAGAAGCCCAAGAAAGAGCGGCACGGCACGGCACCGCACCAUUACAAGUACCUGAUUGUAUUCUUCUCCCAACAAGGUUAAGGAGAUUGAAUUGUGCAUACCUGCUGAAUAUGUGUCAUUUACAUAGCAAGAAUAAACAUCUAGGUAAAGCAAACUGGCCCUUACGCGUUUUGGAAAGAUUUAAGAGCUGAAGUUCACAACUACUAUCUGGAAGCAUGAUUCAUUCCUUCUAGUGCCCAACAAGACAAAGAAGAUAGUACAAUUUAUUCAUGUGUAGAUUUUCCUUGCAGGUGCAGGCCAAUAUUACAGGAGAGGUGAUAAAUAGAUUACAUUCUUAUAAACUGAACAGGGAACUCAUCAUCACAUGCUGUAGAGUUAAAUUACAGCUUUUCUCAAGGAACAAGAGCUGAAAUAACCCGAUGCUUUUUAGCUGUUAUCCUGAGUUGCUUGGAGGCUUUUCUUUUGGGUGCUUGGAGCCGUAAUGAUCAACAAGCUGAUUCUGAUUUGCUAACUGCACCUACAAUUUCGAACAAUGGUUGAGUAAGUACUGCAAAGCCAACUGAAAAAUUCCUUCAAAAAAAUAGAGAGUAAUUAUUCCAGGUAUGUUUCAUAGUGAGUUCUUUGUUUUUAUAUUAAGAUAAGCAGUGCAUUAAUGUUGUUGGAUAUACACAACACAAGAUACAGUGUAUUAAGGAUAAAGGCCACCACAAGUGCAAUUACAGUAUUGCUGAAACAUCUACUUGCAAGAGAUUAGAGAUCUGCUCAACACAAGACAUGCUUUCAGCAAUCUUAAAGAGCAGGCUUUGAACUAGAGCUCAGAAUUUCUUUCAUCAUUGCCCAUACCAAUCUCGGCCAAAUCAACAAAAACCAGUGAGCAAACAAAUUCAAAUCAAUACCCAAAAUGUCAGACGAAGAGAAACCAACGACAAAAUCAUCAAGUAGUAAGAUACGAGCAAGUAAGAAUGUAACUGUUGCAUUCAAACUCAACGGAGGGAACUACCCAGUGUGGUCGCGGCUGAUGAAAGUUGCGAUAGGGAGUAGGGGAAGCUACUCCCAUAUAACCGGAAAACCGGCUCCACCGUUGCCGGGAAGCAAGGAGUAUGAUGACUGGGAGGAGACGGAUCUAAUCAUCUUCUCAUGGAUUGUGGACAAUAUCGAAACCGAUAUCAUUGCGGAUUUCACUCAUCAUCAGUCGGCCAAGGCGAUUUGGGACAGCCUAGCCACCACAUACGAGAGUGAGGCUGAUCUAUACCUCGUAUAUGACCUGGAGGACAAGGCAAACACAAUUAGACAUGGGAAUAUGGAUCUGGAGACGUAUUAUCGGAAAAUCCACGGAAUGUAGAUCAAUAUCGACCGGUGUUAGAAACAACCGGUUGACUGCUGCGAGAAGAGGGUAAAUCAAUUCAGAGUAUACACAAACACCAAGAGGCUGCUCCGAUUUCUGGUGGGGCUGAAUGAAGAACACGAAGGGGUCCGACGAGAUAUCCUCAAGGAAGUGUCCCCCCCUGGAAACCGCCUAUGGGUGGGUUAAAAAGGAGGCGGCCCGACGACGACUAGGGCCACCAGGAUCCUCAAACACCAUCACCAAUUGUCACGGUGGGGGAGAUUCACAAGGAAUCGGCCACGGGCUUGCGGCACAGGGACAACGACAAGGUCACCGGAGUGGAACCUCGCGUCAAACCACUGUCGCUCACCGCCCGGGGAGCAAACCGGUGGACAAAUCGAAGCUUUGGUGCUCCCACUGCGGUAUGCAAAAGCACACACGAGAAACGUGCUUCCAAUUGCUUGGGUAUCCCGAAUGGUGGGAGGAAAGGCAGACGGCAAGAGCAAAAAUGGCAAUCAGAGUUUCCGCCGGGAAUGAGGCGGUGAAAUUGGUGUUGGGAAAUCGGGACAUGGUGACUGGACGAGGGAAACAGAAGGAGGAACUGGAGGCUUCCGGCGAAGGCGGGAGCGGUGGCGGUGUGAUCGACACUGGUAAUUUUACCGACAAGACCUGAAACGGGAAUGGGGGAGGCGGCGCGAAUGAUUGAGAAUAUUCGGACGAGGAAGAUACUUGGGCGUGGCACUGAGAGCCAAGGACUCUACUACGUGGAUGAGAUAGCUCAACAAGGCAGUGUGAUGCUGGCUCACGGGUCCACGAAACGGGAGAUUUGGCUAUGGCACCAACGACUGGGACACCCUUCCCCUGGUUAUUUUAGUUCACUUGUGUUUUGGCCAAGAGCCACAGACAAUUGUUUAAAUCUACAAAUACUCAUAUGAAUUCUAUUUUUUCCCUUGUUCAUGCUUAUGUGUGGGGUCCUGCACCUAUUGUUGGGGGGAACGGUUUUAGAUAUUUUGUAAUUUUUGUA